rnacentral:rRNA from 1 species
GACGAACGCUGGCGGCGUGCUUAACACAUGCAAGUCGAACGGAAAGGCCCUGCUUUUGUGGGGUGCUCGAUUGGCGAACGGGUGAGUAACACGUGAGUAACCUGCCCUUGUCUUUGGGAUAACUUCAGGAAACUCGGGCUAAUACCGGAUAGGAUCUCCUGCUGCAUGGUGGGGGUUGGAAAGUUUCGGCGGUUGGGGAUGGACUCGCGGCUUAUCAGCUUGUUUGUGGGGUAGUGGGUUACCAAGGCUUUGACGGGUAGCCGGCCUGGGAGGGUGACCGGCCACCAGGGGCCUGCGAUACGGCCCAGACUCCUACGGGCCGCAACAGUGGAGAAUAUUGCGCAGUGGCCGGAAGCCAGAUACAGCAACGCCGCGUGCGGGAUGACGGCCUUCGGGUUGUAAACCGAUUUCGCCUGUGACGAAGAGUGAGUGACGGUAAUGGAUAAAGAAGCACCGGCUAACUACGUG